AGUCAGAACGCAAGAAAGAACUUCAUACAGUUGGUGGAAGAAUUACAUGUUCAACGGCUGCCGGGUCAGAGUCUCCUUUCUGACCGCCCUAUGUGUGAAUACACGUAGAGAACAAGUCUAUCAUGUGAAGCUGGAAAACACGUCUUUCGAAGGAAUUAAACUGUUAACCAAGAGGGGCAGUGGCUUCCAGGGAAGAGGCUGCCAGCUUGCUUAUCUGACAGCGAGGGCUGCCAGUCCACCCACCACACCCACGAGCGGAGAGCGUGCAGUCAGUCUUCUUCUCACGCAGGGAAGAGGCCACUUGUUCGCAGAAAACGUGAGUCAGUUAUAGAAAAAUCUGAGGAUAUAUUGUACUCAUUGAUUAGGAAAAGGAUAAAGUAAAAACAAACAAACAUCAAAGAAUAAGAAGGAGUUCAUGGACUUUAAGAAGUAUUGCUUACAUGAAAAUUUCAGGAGAAAAACUGGAAAAAUAUAGACCCCAAAAAAGCAAACACCCAAAAGAGGUGGAUAACAUGAGGGGCAAAGGAGCCUAGGAAGGACCCAGCCUCAGGCGGCCACGGAUGGGCCACGGAUGCCUCCGUGACAUUUCCCAUCCAUCACCGAGGAAGCCCGCAGACCCGAACUAGUGGAGCUCAACACUGCAUCUCCUUCGGCCGCUACAUUUUAUUGAGAAGAAAGGAGGUUUGAGCCCCCUGACCGCUCUUUUUUCAUUAGUGUUCUAAAAUUCCUAUCCAAUUGCUAUUUGAAAAAUAAGUAAACACAAACCCUUAAACACGCCUCCCUUUAUUAUGUAAAGCAGUUCAGCCCUACUCCCGCCCCUAUAUCCAAAUUUACGUGUGCACACAAUACUCAGCCGAAAACAAAGUGGGGGGAUGGCAGUCAACCCCCCAGCGCUGGACUGACAGGGCAGGUGGCAGCAUCGUGCCCUACCUGAGUGCCCACGCUGCCAUCGCUAAGCCCCCAGAGCUAACCAACAUGUUUCCUCCCAACAAAACCAAACAACUUGCCCGCAGGAGAAUGUUCUAAGCAGCUGCUAAGAGGAAAAAACCAAAAACAUUCUCUAUCUUAUGAUACUAACGUCUACUGCUUGAAUAUUGUCUCUCUGCCAACCAGUUUCUUAGCAGCCUUUUUUUAAAAAAAUUAUUCAAUGGCAUUUAACAGAUGGAAAAACCCUAGAUCACAGAGAAAGGCACACAUCAUAAUCACACACAAACUUAUCAGUCUCAACAAAAACAGUCUUAAAGGCCUUAAUCAUUUAUUUACAAAGACAUGAAAAUGUUUUCCUUGGGAAAAAUAGGCGAAUGACAUACUGCAGAAUACACUUGUCAGUAACAAAGUGGAUCAAGCAGGACGAGACGCAUAGUAAAAUGACUCCAUAGAAUUAAUGUGAACUACAGAAAUUCCCC